rnacentral:lncRNA from 1 species
ACGGGAUACGUCGUGAUUCUGAUCGAGGAUUAUUAUCGUGACAAUAGUCGCAGGAUGCGGCGUCACGACUCACGAGUUACAGUCACUCGGCAACGGGAAGUGGCCGUGCCGACCUCGACGAAGUCGAUGAUGCGGCUGCAAAGUCAUCGUGAGAGUACCGCAAGCAUAAGCAUCUACAACGCCUAGCGUCGCGAUCCUUAUCUUUUAUUAUAUUAUAUUAUUUCCUAUUACUUUUACUCUACAGUGUUAUUAGAUUAUCUGUGUGAACACAAAUUUCUAAAAUCUUUUAAAUAAAAAGAUUCGAAGGCUCCAUUCAUCUAUUCUAAUUAGAAAGAAAUUAAAUCUAGAAUCUCAGAAAAAAUCUGAAAUGUAAAGGAGAAAGCUGUUGUAUGGCAUAGACAAACAUUUGUAUAAAAUGUCUGAAAAGAUAUUUUGAAAUAAAUCGCUUAUAAUGCCACAGCUUAUUCGUUUAAUCUUUCUUUUUGUAUGCUGAGUACUAUUCUGUGCGACAGAGAGACUGACACGACUCAGCUGCAACAGGACUAUCUGGAGUACGAAGGCAACGUCUAUUAAAAUUGCGGAGCGACGAGAGGCAACAAAGGGACGGCUGAGCAUCGUAAAAAUCCCCGAGAAGGUAGUUUCUUCGCCAGCCCGAUCAAGAUCCCGCGAAAGCUCUCGUGGCCAAUUUUACUUCAACCACUGUGGGAGUACUACAGUCGACCGAGAGAAAAAUAUUCAAACAAAAAAAAGAAACCAAUAACUACGUGCCAAACCGGCUACCAGCACACCAGAGUGCCCUCCCGAUCAUCUUCCUCAUCUCCGUAUCAUUAAAUUCAGAGCGAACCAUUCCGCUCGUUCACCCUGCUACUAGCAGUGUGCCCGGAGUUUUUAAUUAAACACCCGGGCCAAAGGGAAACGGACCACACAGGAUUUUUCGAAAAAAGGGUGCAAUCGAGAUACGUAUACGCUGCAAUUCCUUGCUGAAAAUUGGAAUGAUCUUUCCUUCACGGGGAGGUAGCGCUAGAAUUUUUCUACCGGGGUCUAAAGCCAAAUGGAAACUGGAUUAAAAUGAGUAUGCGGAUCGAUCAAAAAGUUCGGCCCCCUCUCUUUUCAAUGCAUUAAGAUAAGAGUCACGGAUGAGAGGCACGGAACUUUUGAUCAAUCUAAUAAUUAUAGUUCAAUUUUUUCAAAUUGGAUUCUUCGUUCUAGAAAAAAAAAGUAAGAAGAUGAGAAGAUCCUAUUCACCAUGCAUGGGAACUCACUUCUUUCUCACCAAAAGUUAGAAUUGAAGACUUAGGACUUUUCGUUAGGACUUGGAAAAAAUUGAGAGCAAGUGCAGCAAGGAAAAUUAUACUUCGGUGGAGCUGAAAAUUUAGUCUCGACCAUCAAAAGGCAUCAAGGUCGUCCUGUUUAACGAACGCGCCUAUCCCGUUGCACAGCCCGUAUGCACAGCAUGAGACUCGAGGAACAAUCGUGGAGGAUCGAUUUGGAUGUGGGUCGGUCCAACCCCCCGAGUGCCAAACGACGCGAAAGCAUGGCGUACAACUACCCGAGGCUCCCGUUCGAUCGAGUAGAGCCCAACUCUACGAGGAGAGGGCUAUAGGACAACGGUUACGCCAUCGUCAGCUCGUGUACGUGUGCAAACGGGGUAAUACGUGGAUAGCGAAACGGUCGAUAUCCUACGUGUAUUCGUGUACACUACGCAUGCAUCCGCCAUCCGGUAGAGCUUUUACGUAGCGAACAAUGCGCUACCGUGGACAAAGACGUAUUAACGUUAGCAUUAGAACGAAGCGUCCUGGUUCGUGCCACAUCCUUGGUAUAUUGUUAAAAGCUGUUAAGUUUUCAAGAAAGAUCAGAAGAAGGAGCAGGACCGACUCGACUUGGAAAACUAUAAUUCGGGACAAACGAGACUCGACUCAGGUUCAUCAACUUGUCUAUCGCCCGGAAGUUUCGAGUAAAGUUUCCCCCUAUAAUUUGAAAAGUGAUAACAAAAGUGGAUAAUUCAAGUGUGAAAUUCAACGUCGAAUACUGUAUUAUUUUGUAGCAAGGAAAAAUUAUACCUGCAUGGAAUUGUGAAACGAUGUGCAAUGUGAAGGAAAAACAAUAAAAAUUAUGAAAUUUGUAGAAAGAGA